AGUCGCCCCACCACCCGUAGCCCCACCUCCAGUUGCAUCACCACCCGUGGCACCUCCGCCAGUCGCUCCACCACCCGUAGCCCCGCCUCCAGUUGCAUCACCACCCGUGGCACCUCCGCCAGUCGCUCCACCACCCGUAGCCCCGCCUCCAGUUGCAUCACCACCCGUGGCACCUCCGCCAGUCGCUCCACCACCCGUAGCCCCG
rnacentral:misc_RNA from 1 species